AUGGACGGGGAGUGGGCGCAAUACAACAGUGUUAUGCAAAAUGAGCUUGACGUCUUCAUGACGAACGAACACAACCACCUAUUCCAGUACAACCAUGGAGAUGAGAUGUGUGGCCUCGUUGGAGCCACUACCAACGUGGGCAACCCUGAUGAUGCACACGCUGUUGCUGCAGACCAAGGUAACAACAACGAUGGAGAGACACAUAAUGAGCAGAGAAUGGUGGCAAGGCGUGCCAAUUAUCACCGUCUCCGCGGAGAACAAAUCCAUCGACUUGAAGUGUACAAUACAUACUCAAUCAAUGUUUCUUACCUAUCAAAGAUGAUGUGUACUAAUCCAUUUUCGUUAACGUAA
rnacentral:rRNA from 1 species